rnacentral:rRNA from 1 species
GACGAACGCUGGCGGCGUGCCUAACACAUGCAAGUCGAGCGAAUGAAGUUCCUUCGGGAACGGAUUUAGCGGCGGACGGGUGAGUAACACGUGGGCAACCUACCUAAUAGAGGGGAAUAGCCUUCCGAAAGGGAGAUUAAUACCGCAUAAGAUUGUAGUACCGCAUGGUACAGCAAUUAAAGGAGCAAUCCGCUAUGAGAUGGGCCCGCGGCGCAUUAGCUAGUUGGUGAGGUAACGGCUCACCAAGGCGACGAUGCGUAGCCGACCUGAGAGGGUGAUCGGCCACAUUGGGACUGAGACACGGCCCAGACUCCUACGGGAGGCAGCAGUGGGGAAUAUUGCACAAUGGGGGAAACCCUGAUGCAGCAACGCCGCGUGAGUGAUGACGGCCUUCGGGUUGUAAAGCUCUGUCUUCAGGGACGAUAAUGACGGUACCUGAGGAGGAAGCCACGGCUAACUACGUGCCAGCCGCCGCAGUAA